rnacentral:rRNA from 1 species
GUAGGUGGCAAGCGCUGUCCGGAAUUAUUGGGCGUAAAGCGCGCGCAGGUGGUUCUUUAAGUCUGAUGUGAAAGCCCCCGGGCUCAACCGGGGAGGGUCAUUGGAAACUGGGGAACUUGAGUGCAGGAGAGGAAAGUGGAAUUCCACGUGUAGCGGUGAAAUGCGUAGAUAUGUGGAGGAACACCAGUGGCGAAGGCGACUUUCUGGCCUGUAACUGACACUGAGGCGCGAAAGCGUGGGGAGCAAACAGGAUUAGAUACCCUGGUAGUCCACGCCGUAAACGAUGAGUGCUAAGUGUUGGGGGGUUUCCGCCCCUCAGUGCUGCAGCUAACGCAUUAAGCACUCCGCCUGGGGAGUACGGUCGCAAAGACUG